GCCGCCGCCGCCACGCCCCCUUCUCCUAUUGGGCUGCGCGCCGCUCGCUCCGCCCCCAGGCGAAAGGCAUGCUGGGUGCUGUAGUGCCGCCGCCCGCGUGCGUGCGGUUGAACGGCAAUGAAGGAAACGCUCGGCUUUGACUCAGCAGCACUCAGAGCGAAAGCCGUCCCCGCUGUGUUGUUCUGCCAGAACUUCAGCCCUGCAGCUCUUGGCCCACCCCGUGCCUCAGUUUCCCCUCUUGCGACGUGCAGCAGUGCCACCCCCCACCCCCAGUCCCCCCUCAGGACCUGCGGGACAAAACAGGGCGAUGGGGGCAUUGGCAGCAGUGAUGGUGAUGAAGACCAUCAGUCAGGAGGAGCUGCAGGAGCGGCAGCUCUCGGCUCACUGCAACCACACCAACAUCCCUGGAGGUGGGCAUUGGGGUCCGGGGGGGCUUUGGUGCUGCAGGAACCACUGCAGGCAGAGGGGUAGCAAAGUGAAUACAAACC